rnacentral:rRNA from 1 species
AGAUUGAACGCUGGCGGCAUGCUUUACACAUGCAAGUCGAACGGUAACAGGCCGCAAGGUGCUGACGAGUGGCGAACGGGUGAGUAAUGCAUCGGAACGUGCCCAGUCGUGGGGGAUAACGCAGCGAAAGCUGUGCUAAUACCGCAUACGAUCUAUGGAUGAAAGCGGGGGACCGAAAGGCCUCGCGCGAUUGGAGCGGCCGAUGUCAGAUUAGCUAGUUGGUGGGGUAAAGGCCCACCAAGGCGACGAUCUGUAGCUGGUCUGAGAGGACGACCAGCCACACUGGAACUGAGACACGGU